rnacentral:lncRNA from 1 species
UCUCCUCGACAGCGACGGAGCUAUCUCUCGGUGGAGUCGAAGCUCUCUCUCGGCGAAGGUAAAGCUUAUGUUUCAACUUGAGAUGGAUUGAUCAAAUAUGAUUUGUUUGCAAUUUUGUUUCAAUUAAGAUGGAUGGAUGAAAAUAGAUUUGUUUGUAAGUUUAUUUCAACUUGGAAUUGUUUGAACUAAGAUGGAAUGAUCUCAUUUGAUGUUCUGUGUUUGAUUAAAUCGUUUUUGAUAUGUUCUGACUUUGUGUUUGUUUGCUUGUUUCAGUCCUUGAAAUCGUUUUAGAUAUGUUCUGACUUUGUGUCUGUUUGUUUUGUGUGUUUGUGUUGUAACAUGCGUGGAUCGAGGGUACAAGACGAAGGAAGCUGAAAAUGGAGGAGUACAAGACGAAGGAAGCUCAAAACAGGUAAAUGUCUUCUUCUUUUAAUUGAUUGAAAGCUUUAUGGUUGAUAGUUAAUGUUUUUCUUAGUGAACUAGAUUAUGGUUGUGUGAUGAAUGUGUGCUGAAGUGUAAUUAAUGUCCUGGUUAGAGGUAAAAUAUGGUUGUGUGAUAAGUAGUAGGGGUGGGCACUUCGGUUAUUUUAUCGGUUCGGUUCGAGUUCGGUUCGGUUUGGUUGGUUCGGUUCUAGAAUUUUUCCAGCUGAAGUAAACUAUAGUUAGUUUGGUUUGGAUCGAUUUCGGUUCGGUUAUGUUCGGUUCGGUUUAUAUUCGGUUUGGUUUGUAUUCGAUUCGGUUUGUAUUUCGGUUCGGUUCGGUUUAAUCGGAUUUCUCUUAGUUUAUUUAUUGUACAAGAAAUCAUGUUUUAAUACAUAAAUAUAAGGUUGUCAUGAAAUAAUCGUGUUGGACAUAAUCAAAAAUUAAAUAUGUAAAUUCAAUUCA